rnacentral:rRNA from 1 species
CGUAGGUGGCAAGCGUUGUCCGGAUUUAUUGGGUUUAAAGGGUGCGUAGGCGGCUUUGUAAGUCAGUGGUGAAAUACUCCAGCUCAACUGGAGAGGUGCCAUUGAUACUGCAGAGCUAGAGUACUGAUGAGGUAGGCGAAAUGGACGGUGUAGCGGUGAAAUGCUUAGAUAUCGUCCAGAACACCGAUAGCGAAGGCAGCUUACUAAAGAGUAACUGACGCUGAGGCACGAAAGUGUGGGGAUCAAACAGGAUUAGAUACCCUGGUAGUCCACACUGUAAACGUUGAUCACUAGAUGUUGGCGAUACACUGCCAGCGUUCCAGCAAAAGCGAUAAGUGAUCCACCUGGGGAGUACGCCCGCAAGGGUG